GUCCGUCACGGGCGUUCGAAAAAUGUGGCGUUUAGGAGGUCGCGUGCCGGGGUCGGGCCUGGCAGCAAGUCCCCCUGACCGGGGCUGUUACCCAGAGCGGGUGCGAGGCCCAUAGUUGCCGAGCCCGCUCCGGAUGCGACCUCUUGGGAGUCGGGUUGCUUGGGAGUGCAAUCCUAAUCGGGUGGUAAACUCCACCUAAGACUAAAUACGGCCGUGAGACCGAUAGCAAACAAGUACCGUGAGGGAAAGUUGCAAAGAACUUUGAAGAGAGAGUUCAAGAGUACGUGAAACUGCUCAGAGGCAAACGGGUGGGCCCUCGAAAUCCUCUGGCGGGAGGAUUCAGUUAGGAGGGGCGGAGGUGGCGCGCGGUUUUUCGGACCCUUUUCCGGGGCCGGGCCGCCGACACGGUCUCCGCUCCGCCUGACGCAUUUCCUCCCGCACCAUGGACGCCGCAGCCGGUUGGGUAGCUGCGCGAGUCGGCCAUGAGGGCGGGCGACGGCAGGUGGCCGGUGGGUCGGCUCUUCUCCGCCGGUUGUUAGCCGGUCCGUCCGUGGCGCGACACCCGACCGAGGUUGUAUCCCCGCUCUCCGGGGACGAGCCGCCCCCUUCCGGUGUUUCGCCGCCCCACUCUCGUAGUGGACGGCGCGCCGAGAUCGCCGUUGGGGUGCAGCGGCUAGCGGCGAGUGAGUCGGUCACCCACCCGUCCCGUCUUGAAACACGGACCAAGGAGUCUAACAUGUGCGCGAGUCACGGGGUCUUGACUAGGCCCGGAGGCGCAAUGAAAGUGAGGGUCGACCCGACGUCGGCUGCGUUGGGACUCCCCGGCCCCCGCGCCGGGGAGGCACCAACAAUCCGGUCUGUCCGAUUUAUCGGUUGGCCGGAACCGGAGCGUACACGUUGGGACCCGAAAGAUGGUGAACUAUGCGUGGGCAGGGCGAAGCCAGAGGAAAC
rnacentral:rRNA from 1 species